AUAAUUGAAGCGCAGAGGAAGACAUGGUUUACAAACUAAAGAAACCAAUUUAUGAAUUGAAACAAACCUUGAGAAAUGGUAUUUAAAAUUUGAUGAAACCAUUAGGAAAUUCGGUUUCAAAGAGAAUAUUUGGAGAUCCAUGUAUAUACUUCAAGGUCAGUGGGAGUAAGUUCAUAUUUUUGGUUAUGUAUGUUUAUGUAUAUUUUAUUUCCCAUCAAUGAUCUUGGUCUAUUAAAUGAGACCGAAAAUUAUCUCUCUUAAGACUUUGCAAUGAAAGAUAUGGUCGAUGCAACUUUUGUGAUUGGGAUUGAAUUUUUCCGUGACAUAUCACUUGGAAGUUUAAGGUUGUCUCAUAAUGCAUAUAUUGACAAAGUUCUUGAGAGAUAUGACAUGAUAAUGUGUUAUUCUAGUAUUGUUCCUAUGCAGAAAGGUGAUAAGCUUAAUCUUAAGCAAUGUCCGCAUAAUGAAAUGGAACUUAAAGAAAUGAAAGCUGAAAAUAAAUUUUGAGAUAUCUAAAGAAAAUAAGGAACCAAUUGCUCACAAAUUAGAAAUCAACACACUCACAGGUGGUUGGAUUUUUAAACUCAGAUUUUAAUGGAUAUAAUAGUUUUAAGCAUUACAAUUUUAGCAAUAUGUAUCUCAUCAAAUGAGAUACUUUAUUAUGGAAAGGCUUAUAGUUGUAACUGCUUUAACAUCCAAUAAAGAGGCUGAGUGUGUGGUAAGUUUAUGAGUCUUUUAUAAAGUUAAUUAUGAUUGCAAAAUUAUCUUUGAGUUUGAGACCGUAAGUGUUCGACUCUUUAUGUGAUAGUAAAAUAUGCAAUCAUAUUUUUUUUAAGACAUGAUAUCUAAAGGAUCCAAGUAUAUGAACAUUAAGAUUGAUAUAUGUCAUUAAAGUAAGAUUUCAAAAGAGAAAAAUUUGUCAUUAUGCAUAUAUGCACUAAACUUAUGGUCACAUACAUGUUUACGAAAGCUUUAUAUCCAAAGAUAUUAAAGAAAAUCUAGAAAUUAUGGAUCUAAUGGAUAGCUAUCAAAGUUGUCUGAUUAUGUUUAGCAUAUAUUUGACAAUAUAUGAGCUCUUAAUGACUUUUGAAUCUUUUAUAUUCUGGUUCCAAAGUGUGUACACAUUAUCAUUGUGGGAUUAAUGAUUACAGAAUAAGUCUUUAAACAAGACAUAAAAGGGACCCUAAUGAUAACUCCUACUUAUGGUCUAACUUUGAUAGUAAUCAGUGUAGUAGUGCAUGGAAGGAAUCGUGUUGCAGAUUAAUAUGUGCCCGCCAUGACUCUCAUUGAUUAUUAGAUUAGCUAAGACAAUUAUGAUGACCAGAUAAAAGCAAGAUUUAACAAAUAAUGCCGGUCUUAUGAUUCUCGAUACUUAAGUUAAUAAGUUAUACCAACGACCAAGUGGGAGAAUGUUAGAAAUAUUCUCAUUAGGAAGAGAAUGUUUCUAUACCAUUAUGUGGUCUUUAGGUAAACUUAAUUAUAUUGAGAUUGUUAAAUCCUAAUGAUACUUGGUAACCAAUAAAAUGGUAACUAAAGGAGUUUAGUUUCUAAUGAUGAUGAUUAAGUAAUGGACAAGUAAUUGAUUCUAGAAGGUUUCUCACUUGAUGACUCAUGAAACAUGUGUCAUUGUAGGAAAGCAUAUGAAAUAAGUUCAAUGCAUCAAAGGAGAACACAUUCAUUGUAUAAAUGAAUGAUUCUAGAACACUAAACACUUGUCAUUACUCAACCAUGAUGGAUGGUUGAGAUUAAAGAAAAAACUUGCCAAGAAAGUCAUCAAGACUUGGUGAGAAAGUUUUUGGUCCCUCUCCCCACCUAUAUAUAGUAAUCUUUGGACCAUCACAAAGACACAUCAAGAAAAUCUAAAGAGAAACACAUAAAGAAAGGUUGUAGACAAGGGGAGAGAAGAUCUAACUCCAACUAAAAGAUCAAGAGAUCAUCUUGGGGAGAGAAGGGUUAACUCCAACUUAAAGUUCAUGAAAUAAUCUUCCAUGAUCAUAACCGUUCAAGAAGAUUUCCGCACUCAUGAAUCGAGCUAUAACCAUCUUCCAUGUAUCCACCAACUUCUUCGGUUAAAUUGGUCAUUGCACGCCAGUUGGAAAAAUAGAAAGGUGGCAAAGCUCCAGUGAAAUGAUUAUGCGAUAUACAAAUGAUUUUUAAACUUUGAAACCAAUUGACACAUGAGGAUGAUAUAACGGCCCGUAGAAUUCAUUUGACCGGAGAAUCAUGACUUGUAACGACGGCAAAGAACUCAACCAAGACGGAACUUGUCUAUGAUUUUGUUGCUUUCAACAUUCACGAACUUCAAAGAAUUGCAGUUAGUCAAUGAUUGUGGAAGCUUUCCCUCCAACUGGUUGCCACUGAUGUCAACUAACUCCAAGUUGUAGUAGCAGCAUUGACAAAUAAAUUUGGAAAAAGAAUUCCACACAGAUUUGGUAAA